rnacentral:rRNA from 1 species
CCUACGGGGGGCAGCAGUGGGGGAUAUUGCACAAUGGGGGAAACCCUGAUGCAGCAACGCCGCGUGAGGGAAGAAGCGCCUCGGCGCGUAAAGCUCUGUCAGCAGGGAAGAAAAUGAUGGUACCUGAAGAAGAAGCCCCGGCUAACUACGUGCCAGCAGCCGCGGUAAGACGUAGGGGGCAAGCGUUAUCCGGAUUUACUGGGUGUAAAGGGGGCGCAGACGGGGAUGCAAGCCAGGUGUGAAAGCCCGGGGCCUAACCCGGGGACUGCCCUUGGAACUGGGUGGCUUGAGUGCAGGAGGGGUAGGCGGAAUUCCUGGUGUAGCGGUGAAAUGCGUAGAUAUCAGGAGGAACACCGGUGGCGAAGGCGGCCUGCUGGACUUUAACUGACGUUGAGGCCCGAAAGCGUGGGGAGCAAACAGGAUUAGAUACCCGAGUAGUC